rnacentral:lncRNA from 1 species
UGGGAGUGAUUGAAAUAGGUUCCUUAAUUCACUUUUAACAUGAAAUUAAAAUAUUUUUGAAAUCAGUCAAAGGAGACCCGAGAAAAAAACUGAUUCAAAUGUUCUCCUCAGAUAGUCACUUAACAAAGCCUUUGGCAUUUGCCCAGUAGUGGCAGUGGUCAAAGUAGGUUCUUUACUUCACUCUUAACAUGAAAUCAAAAUAUUUUUGAAAUCAGUCCUUGGGGUCCGGAGAAAACCCGGUUCUAAUAUUCCACAUGAACAGUCGCUUUACAAAGCCUGUCUUAUUUACCCAGUAGUGGGAGUGAUUGAAAUAGGUUCCUUACUUCACUUUUAACAUGAAAUUAAAAUAUUUUUGAAAUCGGUCAAAGGAGACCCGAGAAAAAAACUGAUUCAAAUGUUCUCCUCAGAUAGUCACUUAACAAAGUCUUUGGCAUUUGCCCAGUACUGGGAGUGGUCAAAGUAGGUUCUUUACUUCACUCUUAACAUGAAAUCAAAAUAUUUUUGAAAUCAGUCCUUGGGGUCCGGAGAAAACCCGGUUCUAAUAUUCCACAUGAACAGUCGCUUUACAAAGCCUGUCUUAUUUACCCAGUAGUGGGAGUGAUUGAAAUAGGUUCUUUACUUCACUCUUAACAUGAAAUCAAAAUAUUUUUGAAAUCAGUCCUUGGGGUCCGGAGAAAACCCGGUUCUAAUAUUCCACAUGAACAGUCGCUUUACAAAGCCUGUCUUAUUUACCCAGUAGUGGGAGUGAUUGAAAUAGGUUCCUUACUUCACUUUUAACAUGAAAUUAAAAUAUUUUUGAAAUCGGUCAAAGGAGACCCGAGAAAAAAACUGAUUCAAAUGUUCUCCUCAGAUAGUCACUUAACAAAGUCUUUGGCAUUUGCCCAGUACUGGGAGUGGUCAAAGUAGGUUCUUUACUUCACUCUUAACAUGAAAUCAAAAUAUUUUUGAAAUCAGUCCUUGGGGUCCGGAGAAAACCCGGUUCUAAUAUUCCACAUGAACAGUCGCUUUACAAAGCCUGUCUUAUUUACCCAGUAGUGGGAGUGAUUGAAAUAGGUUCCUUACUUCACUUUUAACAUGAAAUUAAAAUAUUUUUGAAAUCGGUCAAAGGAGACCCGAGAAAAAAACUGAUUCAAAUGUUCUCCUCAGAUAGUCACUUAACAAAGUCUUUGGCAUUUGCCCAGUACUGGGAGUGGUCAAAGUAGGUUCUUUACUUCACUCUUAACAUGAAAUCAAAAUAUUUUUGAAAUCAGUCCUUGGGGUCCGGAGAAAACCCGGUUCUAAUAUUCCACAUGAACAGUCGCUUUACAAAGCCUGUCUUAUUUACCCAGUAGUGGGAGUGAUUGAAAUAGGUUCCUUAAUUCACUUUUAACAUGAAAUUAAAAUAUUUUUGAAAUCGGUCAAAGGAGACCCGAGAAAAAAACUGAUUCAAAUGUUCUCCUCAGAUAGUCACUUAACAAAGUCUUUGGCAUUUGCCCAGUACUGGGAGUGGUCAAAGUAGGUUCUUUACUUCACUCUUAACAUGAAAUCAAAAUAUUUUUGAAAUCAGUCCUUGGGGUCCGGAGAAAACCCGGUUCUAAUAUUCCACAUGAACAGUCGCUUUACAAAGCCUGUCUUAUUUACCCAGUAGUGGGAGUGAUUGAAAUAGGUUCUUUACUUCACUCUUAACAUGAAAUCAAAAUAUUUUUGAAAUCAGUCCUUGGGGUCCGGAGAAAACCCGGUUCUAAUAUUCCACAUGAACAGUCGCUUUACAAAGCCUGUCUUAUUUACCCAGUAGUGGGAGUGAUUGAAAUAGGUUCCUUACUUCACUUUUAACAUGAAAUUAAAAUAUUUUUGAAAUCAGUCAAAGGAGACCCGAGAAAAAAACUGAUUCAAAUGUUCUCCUCAGAUAGUCACUUAACAAAGCCUUUGGCAUUUGCCCAGUAGUGGCAGUGGUCAAAGUAGGUUCUUUACUUCACUCUUAACAUGAAAUCAAAAUAUUUUUGAAAUCAGUCCUUGGGGUCCGGAGAAAACCCGGUUCUAAUAUUCCACAUGAACAGUCGCUUUACAAAGCCUGUCUUAUUUACCCAGUAGUGGGAGUGAUUGAAAUAGGUUCCUUACUUCACUUUUAACAUGAAAUUAAAAUAUUUUUGAAAUCGGUCAAAGGAGACCCGAGAAAAAAACUGAUUCAAAUGUUCUCCUCAGAUAGUCACUUAACAAAGUCUUUGGCAUUUGCUCAGUAG